AUUCCAGCUCCAAUAGCAUAUAUUAAUGUUGUUGCAGUUAAAAAGCUCGUAGUUGGAUUCCUGGCACGGGGUAGCCGGUCCGCCUUGCAAAAGGUGCGCACUGAGCGGCCUCGGCCAUCCUUGCGAUGGUCUAUCCUGGCAUUCAGUUGUCGGGGUGGGGAUUCGCGACGUUUACUGUGAAAAAAUCAGAGUGUUCAACGCAGGCUUACGCCUUGAAUACAUUAGCAUGGAAUAAUGAGAUAGGACCUUGGCGGUCUAUUUUGUUGGUUUGCACGCCGAGGUAAUGAUUAAAAGGGACGGUUGGGGUUCUUCGUAUUCAAUUGUCAGAGGUGAAAUUCUUGGAUUUAUGGAAGACGAACUGCUGCGAAAGCGUCGAACAAGGACGUUCUCAUUG
rnacentral:rRNA from 1 species